AAACUGUGAUACGUGAUACGAAUUGCAGACACAUUGAGUAUUGAUCUUUCGAACGCACAUUGCGGCGUCAGGCUACUGUCUGUCGCCACGUCUGUCUGAGGGUCGUUUCAUACAUAUGCACAGGCACUAGUGUCUGCGCGCAGUGCGGUUUGAGGAAUUAGCCUUCCACCAACUGCCAAAGUGAAACGUGUAAAGGAGGAUUAAGCGCUUUGCGAGCAGAGAGGUGAAAUGCUCUGCGAGCUUGGUGGCAAAUUUGAUUUCGACCUCAGAUCAGGCGUGAUCACCCGCUGAACUUAA
rnacentral:misc_RNA from 1 species